GAGGAACUCAAAUGAGACCAGGCAAGGUAUUGGCGACCAAGUUCUCAUAAUGGCGAGGUGACUAUAUAAGCAGGUGAAGAUUUUUUCCUUUAUCAAGAGGCUUCCAACACGAAGCAGCCCAUGGCCAGAGUGCCGGCAGAGUCUAGACUGUCCCAUGGUAGAUCUUGUUUUAUUGCUUCAUGGUUUGAUCUGUGCUGGCUCUUGGUUGUCCAUCUAAAAAUGGAGUUGAUAUUUGUGGCGCGACACAUACAUUCACCAACUUAUAAAAAGCUGGAACUUCCUUUUCUAUUGGGUGUAAAGAGCGAAGAUGUUGAAGACAAGGAAAAUUCAAAACAGAAUGCGGGUCGGCACACGAGAGUUUUGAAUAAUGAAUGACAGUAGUGUCACCUUCAUUUAUAUCUAUCUCUAUACAUGUUUUGUCCAGUGUUUUCACAUGCUUGCUACUUGCUACCCUAUCUAUACUUCCCUCUCCCUUAAACGAGCAGACUUGGCUUAUCUGCGGU
rnacentral:lncRNA from 1 species